UACAGAGGUCUCAAGCGUUGUUCGGAUUCAUUGGGCGUAAAGGGUGCGUAGGCGGCGCGGUAAGUCGGGUGUGAAAUCUUGGAGCUUAACUCCGAAACUGCAUUCGAUACUGCCGUGCUUGAGGACUGGAGAGGAGACUGGAAUUUACGGUGUAGCGGUGAAAUGCGUAGAUAUCGUAAGGAAGACCAGUGGCGAAGGCGGGUCUCUGGACAGGUUCCUGACGCUGAGACGCGAAAGCGUGGGGAGCAAACAGG
rnacentral:rRNA from 1 species